UACAGAGGGUGCAAGCGUUAAUCGGAAUUACUGGGCGUAAAGCGUGCGUAGACGGUUACAUAAGUCGGGUGUGAAAGCCCCGGGCUCAACCUGGGAAUUGCAUUCGAGACUGCGUAGCUAGGGUGCGGAAGAGGGAAGCGGAAUUUCCGGUGUGAGCGGUGAAAUGCGUAGAUAUCGGAAGGAACACCAGUGGCGAAAGCGGCUUCCUGGUCCAGCACCGACGUUCAGGCACGAAAGCGUGGGGAGCAA
rnacentral:rRNA from 1 species